rnacentral:tRNA from 1 species
GCGGGUGUAGCUCAGUUGGUAGAGCGUAGUCCUUCCAAGUCUAAUGUCGCGUGUUCGAGUCACGUCACCCGCU